AAUACAGGAUUCCCAGUUAAAUUUGGAUUUCAGAUAAACAACAAAAAAAUUAUUAGUAUAAACAUGCCCCAUGCAAUAUUUGCGACAUACUUAUGUUAAAAUACUAUUUGUUGCCUAUCUGAAAUUUAAAUUUAACUGGGCCUCCUGCAUUUU
rnacentral:miRNA from 1 species